rnacentral:rRNA from 1 species
AACGAACGCUGGCGGCAUGCCUAACACAUGCAAGUCGAACGAGACUUUCGGGUCUAGUGGCGCACGGGUGCGUAACGCGUGGGAACCUGCCCUUAGGUUCGGAAUAACUCCCCGAAAGGGGUGCUAAUACCGGAUAAUGUCUUCGGACCAAGGAUUUAUCGCCUUUGGUUGGGCCCGCGUUGGAUUAGCUAGUUGGUAGGGUAAAAGCCUACUAAGGCGACGAUCCAUAGCUGGUCUGAGAGGAUGAUCAGCCACACUGGGACUGAGACACGGCCCAGACUCCUACGGGAGGCAGCAGUGUGGAAUAUUGGACAAUGGGCGAAAGCCUGAUCCAGCAAUGCCACGUGAGUGAUGAAGGCCUUAGGGUUGUAAAGCUCUUUUACCCGGGAUGAUAAUGACAGUACCGGGAGAAUAAGCUCCGGCUAACUCCGUG